rnacentral:rRNA from 1 species
AACGAACGCUGGCGGCAGGCCUAAUACAUGCAAGUCGAACGCUCCAGCAAUGGAGAGUGGCAGACGGGUGAGUAACGCGUGGGAACCUUCCCAGUGGUACGGAAUAGCUCAGGGAAACUUGAGGUAAUACCGUAUACGCCCUUCGGGGGAAAGAUUUAUCGCCAUUGGAUGGGCCCGCGUCGGAUUAGCUAGUUGGUGGGGUAAUGGCCCACCAAGGCGACGAUCCGUAGCUGGUCUGAGAGGAUGAUCAGCCACACUGGGACUGAGACACGGCCAGACCGCCACCGGGGGGCAGCAGUGGGGAAUAUUGAACAAGGGGCGAAAGCCUGACCCGGCCAUGCGGCGGGGGUGACGAGGGCCUUCGGGUUGUAAAGCUUUUUGGGGGGGGAGGAUAAUGAGGGACCCCGAAGAAUAAGCCCCGGCUACUUCCGUCCCGCCCGCCGAAGAAA